AUGGCAGGUCUGCUAAGACAGGAUGUCCUGCUGGCAUCCCCUGGUCCAGGUGACUCAUGGAAGUGCCAUCUUCUGGGUGGAAGGUGCAAAGUGGGACCUCUUUCCUGCUCUCUAGUGCCGGCCAGCCACACUGCACCCUUCAGGCAAAGCCUCAACUUUUACUCCGUGCUGGUGGAGAGUGGAGCUGACGCCACUCGGAUGGUCCUGAUCUCAGGUUCUCCACCUGCCCCAGGUCCUCUCCCCUUCGCAAUGCACCAAGCUGAGCAAGGGAAGCAAAGAUCCACGUACUCAGAGCGGAGGCAAAGAGGCAGCAUCAGCCCAGCGUCAGCCUCUGCUGCCCCUUGUCUCCCUUUGCGUGUGCCCUGCCCGAUCACCAAGCCGCAGCGAGGGAGGGGCAGGUUUGGGGAGAAGUAUCCCUCCCUGAUGUCUCAUCUGUGGCUUUUAAAGCCAGCAGGAGCCUCCUCCCAUCACUGCGUCCCAGGAGAUGUGGCUCCCGCUCAGCCCUGGCCCUCUUGCAGAACAACGAGCACCCCUCGCUCCUCUCUCGGCUGCACGCAGAGCCUGCAGCCGGGCUGGCAGGAGACACCUCAAGAGGAGAUGCACGGCCCUGCACCAUUCAGGGCAGCUUUGCCGAGUAGCGGUUGCAGGGAGUGUGCUGCAGAAGGAUGCCCCGGAGAGAGGGCACGUGGCCUCUUUUGGUGCUGGUGUCACCGCUGCCCCUUCCCCAGCCCUAACUCUCCCUGGUCACAGCACGCCAGCCCAUGCCCCUGCCUCGCCUGUGUCUCUGUGCAGCAGCCUGGGAGCAGGCUGGCCGCGAGGGAUGCGCUGCAGGAGGCCGGCCAGUGUCUGGCACGGGGACAGGAGCAUUGUCUGCCCGAGGAGGAAGGUGCCGAGCCUUUCCUCUUCCCCGCCCCGCUUCCCACAGCCCUCAUCCGACAGGAUGGGCGAAGGCGAUGCAGCCUUCCCCCGCCAUGCGACAGCAGCGGGUGUGCAGUCACCUGCCCUCCUCCUCCUCCUCUUCCUCCCAGCACUACUCCAGCCCUGGAGCACCCGCAGGGCCGGAGGCGAUGAAUUAAGCUGGACGGCCUCUGUGAGUCACGAGCACAGGGAGCGCGGCCGGGUGAAGCACAGUGGAUGCUGAGUGCCAGACUCUUCCUUUGGGGACAGUCUUCAGGUGGAAAUGACUUGUUCUGGGGGGCUGCGUGGCAGGAGCAUGGCAUUCGAGGACUUGUCACCCCUUGUCAUCGUGGGGGAGCUCCCGCAGCACCUUGUGCUCCAGCGGAGGAGCGGGGCUGCCCCGAGCCCUCCCUGCAGGUUCCCCAACUGCUCCCCGGAGGUGGCCGUGCUCAGGCACCUCGGGUGCGACGGCAGCUCGAGGCAGGGGACCGAGCAGCAACGCCACCAUCGCUGCUGGGCACCUGUUUCCAAGGCUCUCUUGCGGGGCAGCCAAAAACCAGCAGCUCUUUUGGGCUGUCUUCAGGCUGCCCCCUCCCUCCUCGGCUCGCCGGGAGUUGGGCACCUCCAGGGCAAUCCCCGUGCCCGGCCGAGGCAGGGCUGCAGCCAGAGGCUCGGUGGCGAUGCGGGUGCCUGGGCGAGCCCCAGGGUGAUGCCAGGGACGUGCCCGCUCCCGCCGGGGCUGCCCACCCGGGUCUGGGAUCCGGGGCCCUCUGCCCCUAAAUCCGAUCACCGCCAGCAAGCCUGUUUCCAUGGAAACCGCACAGUGACUCAGGACUUUGGGACCAGCUGGAAAACACAACUGUGAGCAGCAGGCGCCCGGGGAGGCUUCGGGGGUCUCGGGGCGAGGCGGAGGGGCAAGGAGUGCAGGGAGCGGGGCACGGCUGCCUGCCCGCCCCUGUGCCCGGGCACGCUCCCGCCGGUGCAGAGGGGCACGUUGGGACACAGGGCGAGGGGAUCCCAGGAGCCAGGAGCCAAAACCCCUCUCCUGACACCCGCGCUGCUGCAGCACUGACAAGUCCGCGCUGCAGCACGCUCGGCGGAGAACGGAUCCCAAAACACGCCUGGCUGCAGGCAGCCCCCAGCCCCCCGGGGAUGGGGACCCACACGUGCGUGG
ensembl:lncRNA